rnacentral:rRNA from 1 species
GACGAACGCUGGCGGCGUGCUUAACACAUGCAAGUCGAACGCUGAAGCUCAGCUUUUGUUGGGUGGAUGAGUGGCGAACGGGUGAGUAACACGUGAGUAACCUGCCCCCUUCUUUGGGAUAACGCCCGGAAACGGGUGCUAAUACUGGAUAUUCACUGGUCUUCGCAUGGGGGUUGGUGGAAAGGGUUUUUCUGGUGGGGGAUGGGCUCGCGGCCUAUCAGCUUGUUGGUGGGGUGAUGGCCUACCAAGGCUUUGACGGGUAGCCGGCCUGAGAGGGUGACCGGUCACAUUGGGACUGAGAUACGGCCGAGACUCCUACGCGAGGCAGCAGUGGGGAAUAUUGCGCAAUGGGCGCAAGCCUGAUGCAGCGACGCCGCGUGAGGGAUGGAGGCCUUCGGGUUGUGAACCUCUUUCGCUCAUGGUCAAGCCGCAACAAUGGUUGUGGUGAGGGUAGUGGGUAAAGAAGCGCCGGCUAACUACGUG